GGGCACUCCUUCCCCCCCCCCCCCCCCCUUGGGGCGGCAAAAAAACUAGAGCCAGCCCUGGUGCAGGGCGAGUCCAGGGCAACUCAUUCAUCAGGUGUUGCCACCAGAAGACUCCGGCUCUUGCUAAGCGGGAGGAGGAGGCUGGUGUGUCUCUCUCUGCUCAGGAUACAGCUCUGGAGUUGAGCUGCCUGGAUCAGAAGCUGCCUCCUGCAUUUUGACCUGGGGACCCAAACUGAGAAGCUGCUGCUUAUCCAGCAGAGGAGCGACCUUUGUUAAAGCCCCCUCAGUGCCCAUCUCGGGUGGGGACUUUCUCCGGUGCCUGGAACCAGCCCCUAAGGCAGCCCCAGGCUCUGUUGACACCAGCCCCUGAGCCGGAGCCUGCAGGGCAUUCAUUUUUGGAGGCUUCUCAUGUGUCAGAUACUUCCUUCCUUCAAGAUAUGCUCAUGCUCAGGCAGAAGGCGACUUCUUUCAGAACACACAAUUCUAUUCAAUGAGGAA